rnacentral:rRNA from 1 species
CUUGACACACAUAAGAGGUCCAGCCUGCCCAGUGACUAAGUUCAACGGCCGCGGUAUCCUAACCGUGCGAAGGUAGCGUAAUCACUUGUUCUUUAAAUGAGGACUAGUAUGAAUGGCACCACGAGGGUUAUACUGUCUCCUUUUUUUAAUCAAUGAAACUGAUCUCCCCGUGAAGAAGCGGGGAUAAAUUUAUAAGACGAGAAGACCCUAUGGAGCUUUAAACAAUUAUAGCACUGGCCCCCACCUCUUAUUCUUCUGAGAUAUAAUUAUUAUACAGGCCAACAUGACUAUUAGUUUUAGGUUGGGGUGACCGCGGAGCAAAAAUUAACCUCCACGUUGAACGGAGCUACUCCUGAGCUAAAAACUACAACUUUAAGCACCAAUAAACUGACAUCAAUUGACCCAAUAUAUUGAACAACGAAC